rnacentral:rRNA from 1 species
CAAAAACAUGUCUUUUUGAUUAUAAUUUAAAGUCUAACCUGCCCAAUGAGGAGUUAAAUGGCCGCGGUAAUUUGACCGUGCAAAGGUAGCAUAAUCAUUAGUUUUUUAAUUGAAAGCUGGAAUGAAUGGUUGGACGAGAAAAUAACUGUCUCAAUUUAAUUGGAAUUAGAAUUUUAUUUAUAAGUAAAAAAGCUUAUAUGAAUUUAAAAGACGAGAAGACCCUAUAGAAUUUAAUAUAUUAAUAUAUUUAUUAUUUUAGAAUUAUUAUUUAUAUAUAUAUAAGUAUAUUUUGUUGGGGCGAUAGAAAAAUUAAUUGAACUUUUUUUAUAUUUUAACAUUAAUGUAUGUGCAAGUGAUCCGUUUAUUACGAUUAAAAGAUUAAAUUACCUUAGGGAUAACAGCGUAAUUUUUUUUUAGAGUUCUUAUCGAAAAAAGAGUUUGCGACCUCGAUGUUGGAUUAAAAUUAACUUUUGGUGUAGGGGCU